rnacentral:rRNA from 1 species
AAUAGAUACCCAGGUAGUCCACGCCGUAAACGUUGGGCGCUAGAUGUGGGGGCCAUUCCACGGUUUCCGCGUCGUAGCUAACGCAUUAAGCGCCCCGCCUGGGGAGUACGGCCGCAAGGCUAAAAACUCAAAGGAAUUGACGGGGGGCCCGCACAAGCGGCGGAGCAUGCGGAUUAAUUCGAUGCAACGCGAAGAACCUUACCAAGGCUUGACAUAUACGAGAACACUGCAGAAAUGUAGGACUCUUUGGACACUCGUAUACAGGUGGUGCAUGGUUGUCGUCAGCUCGUGUCGUGAGAUGUUGGGUUAAGUCCCGCAACGAGCGCAACCCUCGUCGCAUGUUGCCAGCACGUAAAGGUGGGAACUCAUGUGAGACUGCCGGGGUCAACUCGGAGGAAGGUGGGGAUGACGUCAAAUCAUCAUGCCCCUUAUGUCUUGGGCUUCACGCAUGCUACAAUGGCCGGUACAAAGGGCUGCAAUACCGUAAGGUGGAGCGAAUCCCAAAAAGCCGAUCUCAGUUCGGAUUG